rnacentral:misc_RNA from 1 species
AAAUGGAAACCACCUUACAAGCUAUCCUAUGCCCAUCUUCUUAAUAGUCUGUUUAGAGACUUUGGGAUCCCUCUGAAAACCGAGAAACUUAGGACAAAUAUGAUCCCAAUCACAAGUCUGCAAAAAGAUGAUGAUGGAAGAAAACUUAGAUUUGAACAAGGUGCUAGUUCCAAGGAUAGUGCAAGCGGUACUGUUAAUGUUGAAGGAAUUUUGGAAGAAAUGAACAACUUGAGGGAAUUUGUUGAAAUUGAAUUUGGAGAGCUACAGAAAUUUAGAGGUUUUCAAACUGUUCUUAUGAAUGCUCUUGAUUCUAAAGUUGAUGGCACUUUGAUGUUAAUGUAUAAAAUUGUGGAAGAAUUGUUUAAAAUUAAAGUUCAUCUGGGUAUUUCAAGUACUGAAGCUGGGGAAACUAGUAAGGCUGCUACUGGUUCUGUU